rnacentral:rRNA from 1 species
CAUUACCGAGUUAUACAACUCAUCAACCCUGUGAACAUACCUAUAACGUUGCCUCGGCGGGAACAGACGGCCCCGUAACACGGGCCGCCCCCGCCAGAGGACCCCCUAACUCUGUUUCUAUAAUGUUUCUUCUGAGUAAACAAGCAAAUAAAUUAAAACUUUCAACAACGGAUCUCUUGGCUCUGGCAUCGAUGAAGAACGCAGCGAAAUGCGAUAAGUAAUGUGAAUUGCAGAAUUCAGUGAAUCAUCGAAUCUUUGAACGCACAUUGCGCCCGCCAGUAUUCUGGCGGGCAUGCCUGUUCGAGCGUCAUUACAACCCUCAGGCCCCCGGGCCUGGCGUUGGGGAUCGGCGGAAGCCCCCUGCGGGCACAACGCCGUCCCCCAAAUACAGUGGCGGUCCCGCCGCAGCUUCCAUUGCGUAGUAGCUAACACCUCGCAACUGGAGAGCGGCGCGGCCACGCCGUAAAACACCCAACUUCUGAAUGUUGACCUCGAAUCAGGUAGGAAUACCCG